UUUUUCUCAAUAAUAUCUAACGAUAUAGUAAUAAUACAACAUAUUUCUGUGUUGUAAAUUAUUUACAAAUGUGCAAAACCAACGUUUUGGAAAUUGUGUAUGA
rnacentral:sRNA from 1 species